rnacentral:ncRNA from 2 species
UCGGUGCCAGGCAAUGGAUUUCUGCCUGUCCCUCUCUUGAGGGCCGAACCGCCAUUUUGGCUGAUGAUUCCUACCUUUCG